UGGUAAUGCCGGAUGCUCCAGUUGGAUGCAUGUCCUUCUGGGAAAGAUUCAUCGGUAUGGGAUGGGGUCGCGUCCUAUCAGCUUGAUGGCGGGGUAACGGCCCACCAUGGCUUCGACGGGUAGCCGGCCUGAGAGGGCGACCGGCCACAUUGGGACUGAGAUACGGCCCAGACUCCUACGGGAGGCAGCAGUGGGGAAUAUUGCACAAUGGGCGCAAGCCUGAUGCAGCGACGCCGCGUGCGGGAUGACGGCCUUCGGGUUGUAAACCGCUUUUGACUGGGAGCAAGCCCUUCGGGGUGAGUGUACCUUUCGAAUAAGCACCGGCUAACUACGUGCCAGCAGCCGCGGUAAUACGUAGGGUGCAAGCGUUAUCCGGAAUUAUUGGGCGUAAAGGGCUCGUAGGCGGUUCGUCGCGUCCGGUGUGAAAGUCCAUCGCUUAACGGUGGAUCCGCGCCGGGUACGGGCGGGCUUGAGUGCGGUAGGGGAGACUGGAAUUCCCGGUGUAACGGUGGAAUGUGUAGAUAUCGG
rnacentral:rRNA from 1 species